UUUAGGCUUAGGCUUAGGCUUAGACGCAAUCUUAGGCUUAGUUCUAGGUCUAGGCUUCGGCUUAGGCUUUGGCUUAGACUCAAGCUUAGGCUUAGGCUUAGGUAUAGGCUUAGGCUUUGACUUAGGCUUUGUCUUAGGCUUUGGCUUUGGCUUAGGCUUAGACGUAGGCCUAGACUUAGGCUUAGGCU
ensembl:ncRNA F40E3.8 ncRNA